UUGAGAAGGAUCAAAAUCUAACCAUCAAUCUCUGAAAGACUCAACCCCAUUUUCCAUUUCCCUUGUCUCUCUUCCAUAUCUCCUCUCUAAAACCCUAAUCCCCAUCCCCCUCUCAUCCGCCCACCUCCGAUUGCUUCGAUCAUUCUCUCUUCUUAGUCUACCAUCCACUCAACCACCUACUCAACCACUCCUCUCUCGCUACACUCUCAACCACACCACGACGUUGGUCGUCGAAGACUGCACUACCCCCUGAAUGUUAACCAAACGAUAAACAUGCUUUGAGAUUGUCACCUGAAUGUUAACCAUUCAUUGAAUUGAAUGUCAAUCUCUAACUCUCUUACAGAAUGAAGAAUGGUAGUACUAAUUACAAAUUUCUUCAAAAAACGCAAAAAAAAUAAAAUUCAGUGGAUGAUAGUUGUAUUAGAAGUAGAACAACCAAUCAGUUUCAGUAAAUGAGAAGGGAUACAGAAAUCGGUCAAAUCGAGGCAGGUAAUAUGAGAGAUCUUGUCUACAUAAUUUCCAUCUGGUCUAAGACACCUUGUCAUCAUCAAAUUACAUGCUUGAAUGGAUAGACAACAAAGAGACGAGGGUAAGUCGUCAGAGAACUGAAUAAGCUCCCUGCAUUCUCGUAUCUCAAGUUCACGGAGGUUGACUACACGUUGAAGCUCCUUACAAUUGAUUGACCUUAGCCUCUCAAAAUCGUUAAAUAGUCGAAGGAAGUCGAGUGUGUUGGGCAGGAAAACGACUCCACAUCAUUACUUCCUUCAAUUUUCAUAAUAUUAAGAGAGAUGAGUCCACCAACUUGUCAAUCUACAUAUUUUCGACAAAGCUUCCCACAGUCGGCAACUGGCGUUGACUAUAAGCUAGGAAACAACCUACCUAGAGGAGAUGAGUUAAGAUUUUGACAACCCCUGAUUUCCAAGUGCUUCAGGGUCCCACACAGUCUAUCAGGCAAAGAUGCAAGACUGUUACAAUCAUUUAUGUUCAAGCUUUCAAGGUUAGCAGGUGUAUGUCGGAGGCUUGAUGUGGAGCGAAAAAAAGAGUUGGUUAUGAAGUUGUAAUUAGAUUUAAUGAUUUAGAGGUUGUAUUUAGGAGUAUAUAUAUAUAUAUAUAUAUAUAUAUAUAUAUAUAUAUCCUUAUUUAAGAAUAAAAUAUUAUAUUAUUUUGGGAA